GUCCUGUUUCUCUGUCUGCAGGUGCUCUGGGCAUUGCCAUACUGUUCUCUACAAAAGGGGAGCUCUCAAGAGACCUUUGCUAGAAAAAUUGUUCUAGAGGACAUAUCUGUUGAAAGGUUCCCAUCUUUAGACAAGCUCUUCAAGAAUUAUUUAGGAUCAAAUCUCACAGGACCGACUGGGAUGACGAAAACUAAAAGUACAGUUCCUGCAAAAGGACUAGUGUGGAGGAGAGCCAGGAGGUUUUACUGUGUUAGAGGCAUCCAUACACAAUCAGAGGAAGGCAGCUUUUUCUGCUCACUUUCUGUAUGAAGUUCACAGCACUCUUUUGAGACAGAAUAGUGUUGGAAGAAUAG
rnacentral:lncRNA from 1 species